UUGACCUCAAAUCAGGUAGGACUACCCGCUGAACUUAAGCAUAUCAAUAAGCGGAGGAAAAGAAACUAACAAGGAUUCCCCUAGUAACUGCGAGUGAAGCGGGAAAAGCUCAAAUUUAAAAUCUGGCAGUCU
rnacentral:rRNA from 1 species